CCUACGGGUGGCUGCAGUGAGGAAUACUGGUCAAUGGGCGAGAGCCUGAACCAGCCAAGUCGCGUGAAGGAUGAAGGAUCUCUGGUUAGUAAACUUCUUGUAUAUGGGUGUACAGUGAGAAACUUGUCCCAUUUUGUACGUACCAUAUGUACAAGCAUGGGCUAACUCGGUGCCAGCAGCCGCGGUAAUACGGAGGAUGCGAGCGUUAUCCGGAGUUCGUGGGUUUAAAGGGUGCGUAGGUGGUUAAUUAAGUGAGCGGUGAAAGUUUGUGGCUCAACCAUAAAUUUGCCGUUGAAACUGGUUGACUUGAGUAUAUGUGGGGUAAGCGGAAUGCGUGGUGUAGCGGUGAAAUGCAUAGAUAUCAGGCAGAACUCCGAGUGCGAAGGCAACUUACUAAACUAUAACUGACACUGAAGCACGAAAGCGUGGGGAUCAAACAGGAUUAGAUACCCGAGUAGUC
rnacentral:rRNA from 1 species